rnacentral:tRNA from 1 species
GUUUUUGUAGUUGAAUAACAACGGUGGUUUUUCAAGUCAUUGGUCCUAGUUAGAAUCUAGGCAGAAAUA